rnacentral:rRNA from 1 species
GACAGAGGGGGCAAGCGUUGCUCGGAAUUACUGGGCGUAAAGGGCGCGUAGGCGGGAUGGCAAGUCGGUCGUGAAAGCCUUCGGCUCAACCGAAGAACGUCGGCCGAUACUGCCGUUCUUGAGGGAUGCAGAGGAGACUGGAAUUCCCGGUGUAGCGGUGAAAUGUGUAGAGAUCGGGAGGAACACCGGUGGCGAAGGCGGGUCUCUAGUACGGUACUGACGCUGAGACGCGAAAGCGUGGGGAGCGAACAGG